rnacentral:rRNA from 1 species
ACUUUCAACAACGGAUCUCUUGGCUCUCGCAUCGAUGAAGAACGUAGCGAAGUGCGAUAAGUAGUGUGAAUUGCAGAAUUCCGUGAAUCAUCGAAUCUUUGAACGCAAAUUGCGCUCCCUGGCAUCCCGGGGAGUAUGCCUGUUUGAGGGUCAGU